rnacentral:lncRNA from 1 species
UGCGAAGUUUGCCCUCCAUCUCCUUCGCCCCUUUUGUUAAAUGAUGAACUUUCUUCUUCAGACGUUGGAUCAUGGACUUCAGCGGAAUCUCCUGUGACAGAGGAAGCAUUUCGACAGGACACUGCCAUUGAGAGACAAAAACGUCAUGGCGCAUCUCAUUACAGAAAGCAAAAUAAAAAAAAAGGAGAGCAGAGUGGAGAAGCCCU